UACGGAGGGUGCAAGCGUUAAUCGGAAUCACUGGGCGUAAAGCGCACGCAGGCGGCUUGGUAAGUCAGAUGUGAAAGCCCCGGGCUUAACCUGGGAACUGCAUUUGAAACUGCCAAGCUAGAGUAUGGUAGAGAGAAGUGGAAUUCCACAUGUAGCGGUGAAAUGCGUAGAUAUGUGGAGGAACAUCAGUGGCGAAGGCGACUUCUUGGACCAAUACUGACGCUCAGGUGCGAAAGCGUGGGGAGCAAACAGG
rnacentral:rRNA from 1 species